GCGGCAGCGACGCUGAUGCGUUGUUGGGUAGGGGAGCGUUCUGUAAGCCUGCGAAGGUGGCCUGUGAGGGUUGCUGGAGGUAUCAGAAGUGCGAAUGCUGACAUAAGUAACGAUAAAGCGGGUGAAAAGCCCGCUCGCCGGAAGACCAAGGGUUCCUGUCCAACGUUAAUCGGGGCAGGGUGAGUCGACCCCUAAGGCGAGGCCGAAAGGCGUAGUCGAUGGGAAACGGGUUAAUAUUCCCGUACUUGGUGUUACUGCGAAGGGGGGACGGAGAAGGCUAUGUUGGCCGGGCGACGGUUGUCCCGGUUUAAGCGUGUAGGUGUGUGUUCCAGGUAAAUCCGGUUCACUUUAACACUGAGGCGUGACGACGAGGCACUACGGUGCUGAAGCAACAAAUGCCCUGCUUCCAGGAAAAGCCUCUAAGCAUCAGGUAACAUCAAAUCGUACCCCAAACCGACACAGGUGGUCAGGUAGAGAAUACCAAGGCGCUUGAGAGAACUCGGGUGAAGGAACUAGGCAAAAUGGUGCCGUAACUUCGGGAGAAGGCACGCUGACACGUAGGUGAAGUGAUUUACUCAUGGAGCUGAAGUCAGUCGAAGAUACCAGCUGGCUGCAACUGUUUAUUAAAAACACAGCACUGUGCAAACACGAAAGUGGACGUAUACGGUGUGACGCCUGCCCGGUGCCGGAAGGUUAAUUGAUGGGGUCAGCGCAAGCGAAGCUCCUGAUCGAAGCCCCGGUAAACGGCGGCCGUAACUAUAACGGUCCUAAGGUAGCGAAAUUCCUUGUCGGGUAAGUUCCGACCUGCACGAAUGGCGUAAUGAUGGCCAGGCUGUCUCCACCCGAGACUCAGUGAAAUUGAACUCGCUGUGAAGAUGCAGUGUACCCGCGGCAAGACGGAAAGACCCCGUGAACCUUUACUAUAGCUUGACACUGAACAUUGAGCCUUGAUGUGUAGGAUAGGUGGGAGGCUUUGAAGUGUGGACGCCAGUCUGCAUGGAGCCGACCUUGAAAUACCACCCUUUAAUGUUUGAUGUUCUAACGUGGACCCGUGAUCCGGGUUGCGGACAGUGUCUGGUGGGUAGUUUGACUGGGGCGGUCUCCUCCUAAAGAGUAACGGAGGAGCACGAAGGUUGGCUAAUCCUGGUCGGACAUCAGGAGGUUAGUGCAAUGGCAUAAGCCAGCUUGACUGCGAGCGUGACGGCGCGAGCAGGUGCGAAAGCAGGUCAUAGUGAUCCGGUGGUUCUGAAUGGAAGGGCCAUCGCUCAACGGAUAAAAGGUACUCCGGGGAUAACAGGCUGAUACCGCCCAAGAGUUCAUAUCGACGGCGGUGUUUGGCACCUCGAUGUCGGCUCAUCACAUCCUGGGGCUGAAGUAGGUCCCAAGGGUAUGGCUGUUCGCCAUUUAAAGUGGUACGCGAGCUGGGUUUAGAACGUCGUGAGACAGUUCGGUCCCUAUCUGCCGUGGGCGCUGGAGAACUGAGGGGGGCUGCUCCUAGUACGAGAGGACCGGAGUGGACGCAUCACUGGUGUUCGGGUUGUCAUGCCAAUGGCACUGCCCGGUAGCUAAAUGCGGAAGAGAUAAGUGCUGAAAGCAUCUAAGCACGAAACUUGCCCCGAG
rnacentral:rRNA from 1 species